AUUGAACGCUAGCGGGAUGCUUUACACGUGCAAGUCGAACGGCAGCGCGGACUUCGGUCUGGCGGCGAGUGGCGAACGGGUGAGUAAUGUAUCGGAACGUGCCCAGUAGCGGGGGAUAACUACGCGAAAGCGUAGCUAAUACCGCAUACGCCCUACGGGGGAAAGCAGGGGAUCGUAAGACCUUGCACUAUUGGAGCGGCCGAUAUCGGAUUAGCUAGUUGGUGAGGUAACGGCUCACCAAGGCGACGAUCCGUAGCUGGUUUGAGAGGACGACCAGCCACACUGGGACUGAGACACGGCCCAGACUCCUACGGGAGGCAGCAGUGGGGAAUUUUGGACAAUGGGGGCAACCCUGAUCCAGCCAUCCCGCGUGUGCGAUGAAGGCCUUCGGGCUGUAAAGCACUUUUGGCAGGAAAGAAACGUCGCGGGCUAAUACCCCGUGGAACUGACGGUACCUGCAGAAUAAGCACCGGCUAACUACGUG
rnacentral:rRNA from 1 species